GACGAACGCUGGCGGCGUGCUUAACACAUGCAAGUCGAACGGAAAGGCCCUGCUUUUGUUGCGUUCUCGUUUGGCGAACGGGUGAGUAACACGUGAGUAACCUGCCCUUGACUUUGUGAUAACUUCAGGAAACUGCGGCUAUUACCGGAUAUAAGCUCCUGCUGCAUGGUGUGGGUUGGAGAGUUUCGGCGGUUGUGGAUGGACUCGCUGCUUAUCAGCUUUUUGGUGGGGUAGUUGCUUACCAAGGCUUUGACGGGUAGCCGGCAUGAGAGGGUGACCGGCCACAUUGGGACUGAGAUACGGCCCAGAAUCCUACGGGAGGCAGCAGUGGGGAAUAUUGCACAAUGGGCGGAAGCCUGAUGCAGCAACGCCGCGUGCGGGAUGACGGCCUUCGGGUUGUAAACCGCUUUCGAAUGUGACGAAGCGUGAGUGACGGUAAUGGGUAAAGAAGCAACGGCUAACUACGUG
rnacentral:rRNA from 1 species